rnacentral:rRNA from 1 species
GGUGAACGCUGGCGGCGUGCCUAAGACAUGCAAGUCGAGCGGGGCAGGUUUAUACCUGUUCAGCGGCGGACGGGUGAGUAACGCGUGGGUGACCUACCCGGAAGAGGCGGACAACCUGGGGAAACCCAGGCUAAUCCGCCAUGUGGUCCUGUCCUGUGGGGCAGGACUAAAGGGUGGAUAGCCCGCUUCCGGAUGGGCCCGCGUCCCAUCAGCUAGUUGGUGGGGUAAAGGCCCACCAAGGCGACGACGGGUAGCCGGUCUGAGGGGAUGGCCGGCCACAGGGGGACGGAACCACGGGACCGACACCUACGGGAGGCAGCAGCGAGAGACAGUCCGGGAUGAUAGGGAGUCAGGCGGAGCGGCGCGGCUGGGAGGAGGAGGGCCAGCGGGGUGUAAACUAGUGAACUGGGGACGAAAGCCCUGUGUAGGGGGAUGCCGGUACCCAGGUAAAAGCGCCGGCCAACUCCGUG